rnacentral:rRNA from 1 species
AUUCCAGCUCCAAUAGCGUAUAUUAAAGUUGUUGCAGUUAAAAAGCUCGUAGUCUAAUGUAUGGGAGUUGCGGUGUGGGUGUUUUGCUGGUUCUGCCGGUGAGACAAGACUCGUUCCGCUUCCCGCGUUUUCCCUUUUUGUAAAAGAAGGGAUACUUCACUGUAAGUAAAACAACUCGCUCAACAGCAAGGUUAUCUUGAUAUGAAUUAGUAUGGGAUGAUGAGAUAGGCUCGGUCCGUAUUUUGUUGGUUUUAGUGGUCUGAGAAUGAUGAAGAGGGACAAUUGGGGGUAUUCGUAUUUACAUGUCAGAGGUGGAAUUCUUGGAUUUUGGAAAGACGAACUAAUGCGAAAGCAUCAACCAAAGAUGUUUUCAUUG